rnacentral:rRNA from 1 species
GUAGCGAAAUUCCUUGUCGGGUAAGUUCCGACCUGCACGAAUGGCGUAACGACUUCCCCACUGUCUCGACCAGGAGCUCGGCGAAAUUGCAGUACGAGUAAAGAUGCUCGUUAAGCGCAGAAGGACGAAAAGACCCCGGGACCUUUACUAUACCUUGGUAUUGGCAUUCGGUGUGGAUUGUGUAGCAUAGGCGGGAGGCCGAGAGGCGCGGUCGCCAGAUCGCGCGGAGCCGUAAGGUGAAAUACCGCUCUGUUCGCAUUGGAUGUCUAACCUCGAACAGUCAUCCUGUUCAGGGACAGUGCCUGGCGGGUAGUUUAACUGGGGCGGUUGCCUCCCAAAGAGUAACGGAGGCGCCCAAAGGUCCGCUCAGCCCGGUUGGCAAUCGGGUGGCGAGUGCAAGUGCACAAGCGGGCUUGACUGCGAGGACGACGGUCCGAGCAGGGACGAAAGUCGGGACUAGUGAUCCGGUGCCGGUGUACGGACGCGGCAUCGCUCAACGGAUAAAAGGUACCCCGGGGAUAACAGGCUGAUCAUUCCCAAGAGUCCAUAUCGACGGGAUGGUUUGGCACCUCGAUGUCGGCUCGUCGCAUCCUGGGGCUGGAGCAGGUCCCAAGGGUUCGGCUGUUCGCCGAUUAAAGCGGCACGCGAGCUGGGUUCAGAACGUCGUGAGACAGUUUGGUCUCUAUCCUCUGCGCUCGUUGGAAUGCUGAGGAGGCCUGCCCAUAGUACGAGAGGACCUGGGUGGACGAACCUCUGGUAUGCCGGUUGUCACGCCAGUGGCACGGCCGGUUGGCUACGUUCGGAAGGGAUAACCGCUGAAAGCAUCUAAGCGGGAAGCCUGCUCCAAGAUAAGCAUUCCGUGGAACCUUCGAGUUCCUGUAGUCCCCAUGCAGAACACGUGGUCGAUAGGCCGGACGUGGAAGCCCCGCGAGGGGUGGAGCCGACCGGUACUAACGGACGAAAGGCAACACUAA